AUGUGGCAACAUGCUAGUAAAGAGGAAAGCGAGGGAGUUGCAGCCAGAGAGAAGGGUCAGGCUACCCACAAGGGGAAGCCCAUCAGACUCACAGCAGAUCUCUCUGCAGAAACCCUACUAGCCAGAAUAGAGUGGAGGCCAAUAUUCGACAUUCUUAAAGAAGAGAAUUUUUGUCAUUGGCAAAACCUAAGUCCUGUCCUCUCACUCUCCUCCCUGGGCAGCAUGAGCUUCACCAAUGCUCCACCUUCUCCACCAACUACCAGUCCCUGGGCUCCAUCCAAUACAGUGCCCAGCCAGUCAGCAGCCAGCCUGCAUCCAUGCAGGUGCUGAGGGCUCUGGUUCCUGGAUCUCCAUGUCCCACUCCACCAGUUUCUGGUGCAGCAGGGGUUCUGGGGGCCUGGCUGCAGGGAUGACCAGGGGUCUGGCAGAGAUGGGAGGCAUCCUGAAUGAGAAGGAGACCAUGCAAAGCCUGAAAGCAGUUGCCUGGCCUCCUACCUAGAUAGAGUGAGGAGCCUGGAGACUAAGAACCAGAAGCUGGAGAGCAAAAUCCAGGAGCACCUGGAUUUUGGAAGGGGCCCCAGGUCAGAGACUGGAGUCAUUACUUCAAGACCAUUGAGGACCUGAGGGCUCAUAUCUUUGCAAAUACUGUGGACAAUGCCCUCAUUGUUCUUCAGAUUGACAAUUCCUGUCUUGCUGCUGAUGACUUUAGAGUCAAGUAUGAGACAGAGAUCGAGGCUGUCAAGGAGGAGCUGCUCUUCAUGAACAAGAACCACAAAAAGGAAGUAAAAGGCCUACAAGCCCAGAUUGCCAGCUCUGGGUUGACCAUGGAGGUAGAUGCCCCCACAUCUCAGGACCUUGCCAAGAUCAUGCAGACAUCUGGGCCCAAUAUGAUGAGCUGUCUCAGAAGAACUGAGAGGAGCUGGAUAAGUACUGGUCUCAGCAGAUUGAGGAGAGUACCACAGUGGUCACCACACAGUCUGCUGAGGUUGGAGCUGCUGAGAUGACACUCACGGAGCUGAGAUGUACAGUCCAGUCCUAGGAGAUCGACCUAGGCUCCAUGAGAAAUAAGACCAGCUUGGAAAACAGCCCGAGGGAGGUGGAGGCCCACUCCACCCUGCAGAUGGAAUGGCUCAACAGGAGCCUGCUGCACCUGGAGUCAGACCUGGCUCAAACCCAGGCAGAGGGACAGUGCCAGGCCCAGGAGUACCGGGCUCUACUGAACAUUAAGGUCAAGCUGGAGGCUAAGAUCACCACCUACCACCACCUUCUGGAAGAUGGCAAGGACUUCAAUCUUGGUGAUGCCCUGGACAGCAGCAACUCCACGCAAACCAUCCAAAAGACCACCACCCGCCAGAUACUGGAUGGCAGAGUGGUGUCUGAGACCAAUGACACCAAAGUUCUGAGACAUUAAGCCAGCAGAAGCAGGGGACCUUUUGGGGAGCAGGAGGCCAAUAAAAAGUUCAGAAAUCAAAGAAAAAACAGAAAAGAGAAGAAUUUUCAACCCAGAAUUUCAUAUCCAGCCA